rnacentral:rRNA from 1 species
AGAGUUUGAUCAUGGCUCAGAACGAACGCUGGCGGCAUGCCUAACACAUGCAAGUCGAACGCCCCGCAAGGGGAGUGGCGGACGGGUGAGUAACACGUGGGAACCUGCCCAAUGGUCUGGAAUAACCGCGGGAAACUGCGGCUAAUACCGGAUAAGCCCGAGAGGGGAAAGAUUUAUCGCCGAUGGAGGGGCCCGCGUCCGAUUAGGUAGUUGGUGGGAUAACGGCCUACCAAGCCUACGAUCGGUAGCUGGUCUGAGAGGAUGAUCAGCCACACUGGGACUGAGAUACGGCCCAGACUCCUACGGGAGGCAGCAGUGGGGAAUAUUGGACAAUGGGGGCAACCCUGAUCCAGCAAUGCCGCGUGAGUGAUGAAGGCCUUAGGGUUGUAAAGCUCUUUUGGCGGGGACGAUGAUGACGGUACCCGCAGAAUAAGCCCCGGCUAACUUCGUGCCAGCAGCCGCGGUAAUACGAAGGGGGCGAGCGUUGUUCGGAAUUACUGGGCGUAAAGGGCGCGUAGGCGGCCGAUCAAGUCAGAUGUGAAAGUCCUGGGCUUAACCUGGGGACUGCAUUUGAUACUGAUUGGCUUGAAUUCGGGAGAGGAUAGCGGAAUUCCCAGUGUAGAGGUGAAAUUCGUAGAUAUUGGGAAGAACACCGGUGGCGAAGGCGGCUAUCUGGACCGACAUUGACGCUGAGGCGCGAAAGCGUGGGGAGCAAACAGGAUUAGAUACCCUAGUAGUCC